rnacentral:lncRNA from 1 species
AAAAAGCUCUGGUUGUUUACAGCAGGCAUCUGGGCUGAUGAGUCAGGGCCUGUGGUUAGACAUUUUGAUUCUCACCCCUGAGACCAGCCCUUGGAAGCUCACACAGGAGCCGAGGCAGGGAACCUGGAGAGAAGAGGACAAACAGAGACUUCCCUCUGCUAAAUGAGAGUGAAUCCGCUGGCAAAGGUCUGACUCUGCGGAUUCCCUCCCACUCCACUCUGGGCGAUGGUCACUGUUGUUCUUGCCUCUCCUCUGAGUUCCGGUCUCAUUUAUCCAACAGACAUCUUGACAUCUCCACCUGGAUGUUUUGAAGGCAACUCAAGCCAGUGUGCCUGGGUCUGAACUCCUGACCUUCCUUCCCAAACCUGCUCCUCCUGCUGUGUUUGCCUUUGGAGUGACUGCCACUUCUAUCCAUUAUAAGUCAGAAAUCACCUCCUCCUCAAUCUCCUUCCCUGGCUUAAUCCAUUUCAAAUUCCUUGUGAUUGUCCUUCCUAAAUACCUGCCAAGGGCGGCCACCCCUCCAGUCACCUCUGACAACUGCAGUGGUACCCGACCCAGCUCCCUGUGCAGACCAGGGCACCGCCCACAUCCACGUUUCACGACAGGAGCCAGAGUGAGCUUUUCCAACUGCAGAUCUGAUUGAUUUCAUUCUAGUUUCACUGUCAGCAAUCAAUGCCAUAUGAAAAUAUUUCACAGAAAAAUCCAACCCCUCCCAUUAUAAAUUGCCAUGCAGGCUUCUUCUGGGUUGAUUUCUCAUCUAGUUAUAAGGGCCAAGCUGUCUUCUGGGUCUCUUUGGACUGAGUCUCUCAGGUUUGGGGUCUGACCUUGAGGGUGGGUGGGACAGAUGUCACUGAUGGUUGAUGCCUUAGUUUGGGUUGUCCCAGGUGCAGAUUCCGAGACAAGAAUUUGAGAGCAAGUAGUUUAUUUGAGAGGUGACCUCAGGAAGCUCUGGCAGGGCUUUAGGAAGCGCAACAGGAAAGGGAGGAGGCCAAUUCAGGGCGUAGUAUUCAGCCAGCUGGUGCAGAGGACAGCUGGAGUUCAGUCCCAUGGAGAAAUCACACACAAUAGAGGAAUCCCAGGAGCGAGGGACAGGCGGUAUUUAUACACCAACUCCUAUGAGUUAUUACUUGGGGGUUGUUGGAGGUGAGUGUUAAUCCCCUGGCACCUCCCACCUGCCACAGGUGUGGGUAGAGUGGACUGCUGAGGUCAUGGACAAAAGCCUGCAGGCAAAAA